UACGGAGGGGGCAAGCGUUAUUCGGAAUCAUUGGGCGUAAAGCGCGUGUAGGCUGCUUGGAAAGUCGGAUGUGAAAGCCCUGGGCUCAACCUAGGAAGUGCAUUCGAAACUUCUGAGCUGGAGUUCUGGAGAGGAAGGCGGAAUUCUCGGUGUAGAGGUGAAAUUCGUAGAUAUCGAGAGGAACACCGGUGGCGAAGGCGGCCUUCUGGACAGUGACUGACGCUGAGACGCGAAAGCGUGGGGAGCAAACAGG
rnacentral:rRNA from 1 species